rnacentral:pre_miRNA from 1 species
UCUUAUGGAUGAGCUAAGAAAGAAGGUGGUUUCUUGAGAUGGAAUCUACUCCUGGUGAAGAUGCUGUGAA